rnacentral:rRNA from 1 species
GACGAACGCUGGCGGCAUGCCUAAUACAUGCAAGUCGAGCGAAUGAUGAAGAAGCUUGCUUCUUCUGAUUUAGCGGCGGACGGGUGAGUAACACGUGGGUAACCUACCCUAUAGAUUGGGAUAACUCCGGGAAACCGGGGCUAAUACCGAAUAAUACAUUUUCCUUCAUGGGGAGAUGUUGAAAGAUGGUUUCGGCUAUCACUAUAGGAUGGGCCCGCGGCGCAUUAGCUAGUUGGUGAGGUAACGGCUCACCAAGGCAACGAUGCGUAGCCGACCUGAGAGGGUGAUCGGCCACACUGGGACUGAGACACGGCCCAGACUCCUACGGGAGGCAGCAGUAGGGAAUCUUCCACAAUGGGCGAAAGCCUGAUGGAGCAAUGCCGCGUGAGUGAAGAAGGAUUUCGGUUCGUAAAACUCUGUUGUAAGGGAAGAACAAGUAGCGUAGUAACUGGCGUUACCUUGACGGUACCUUAUUAGAAAGCCACGGCUAACUACGUGCCAGCAGCCGCAGUAACAC